rnacentral:rRNA from 1 species
AGAUUGAACGCUGGCGGCAGGCCUAACACAUGCAAGUCGAGCGGUAGAGAGGUGCUUGCAUCUCUUGAGAGCGGCGGACGGGUGAGUAAUGCCUAGGAAUCUGCCUAGUGGUGGGGGAUAACGUUCGGAAACGGACGCUAAUACCGCAUACGUCCUACGGGAGAAAGCGGGGACCUUCGGGCCUCGCGCCAUUAGAUGAGCCUAGGUCGGAUUAGCUAGUUGGUGAGGUAAUGGCUCACCAAGGCGACGAUCCGUAAC